rnacentral:lncRNA from 1 species
AAUGCCCGGGAGCAAUGCUCUCCCAAAUGCUUUUUGCUGAUUUCUGAGACCUUAGUAAGAUUUCCAUGAAAUGAAGUUUCCUGGGCCAAAUGGACUUUAAGGUGGAAGACACUCUUCAAAAAACUACUCUGGAUAGAGGAUGAGACCUCCAGUGACAGGCCUGAAACGGAAAACUUGAUCGCUGUGCUGAAUCAUGUGAGAUAAGUGGAAGACUUCAUUUAGGUACUGUGGGCUGCAGGAGCUUGG